rnacentral:rRNA from 1 species
CCUACGUGUGGCAGCAGUGAGGAAUAUUCGUCAAUGGACGAAAGUCUGAACCAGCCACGUAGCGUGAAGGAUGACUGCCCUAUGGGUUGUAAACUUCUUUUAUAUGGGAAUAAAACGUUCCACGUGUGUGUUUUUGUCUUUACCAUAUGAAUAAGGAUCGGCUAACUCCGUGCCAGCAGCCGCGGUAAUACGGAGGAUCCGAUCGUUAUCCGGAUUUAUUGGGUUUAAUGGGAGCGUAGGUGGGUUUUUAAGUCAGUUGUGAAAGUUUGUGGCUCAACCGUAAAAUUGCAGUUGAAACUGGCAGUCUUGAGUACAGUAGAGGUGGGCGGAAUUCGUGGUGUAGCGGUGAAAUGCGUAGAGAUCACGAAGAACUCCGAUUGCGAAGGCAGUUCACUGGACUGCAACUGACACUGAGGCUCGAAAGUGUGGGUAUCAAACAGGAUUAGAUACCCUGGUAGUC